rnacentral:rRNA from 1 species
GACAGAGGGGGCAAGCGUUGCUCGGAAUUACUGGGCGUAAAGGGCGCGUAGGCGGCCUUCUAAGUCAGACGUGAAAUCCCUCGGCUCAACCGGGGAACUGCGUCUGAGACUGGAAGGCUUGAAUCCGGGAGAGGGAUGUGGAAUUCCAGGUGUAGCGGUGAAAUGCGUAGAUAUCUGGAGGAACACCGGUGGCGAAGGCGGCAUCCUGGACCGGUAUUGACGCUGAGGCGCGAAAGCCAGGGGAGCAAACGGG